rnacentral:rRNA from 1 species
GUACGUAGGGGGCAAGCGUUGUCCGGAUUUAUUGGGCGUAAAGAGCGUGUAGGCGGCCAUGUAGGUCCGUUGUGAAAACUCGAGGCUCAACCUCGAGACGCCGAUGGAAACCAUGUGGCUAGAGUCCGGAAGAGGAGAGUGGAAUUCCUGGUGUAGCGGUGAAAUGCGCAGAUAUCGGGAGGAACACCAGUGGCGAAGGCGGUACUCUGGGCCGGAACUGACGCUGAGGAGCGAAAGCGUGGGUAGCAAACAGG